rnacentral:rRNA from 1 species
CCUACGGGUGGCAGCAGUGAGGAAUAUUGGUCAAUGGACGAGAGUCUGAACCAGCCAAGUAGCGUGAAGGAUGACUGCCCUAUGGGUUGUAAACUUCUUUUAUAUGGGAAUAAAAUGUUCCACGUGUGCCUUUUUGUAUGUACCAUAUGAAUAAGGAUCGGCUAACUCCGUGCCAGCAGCCGCGGUAAUACGGAGGAUCCGAGCGUUAUCCGGAUUUAUUGGGUUUAAAGGGAGCGUAGGUGGAUUGUUAAGUCAGUUGUGAAAGUUUGCGGCUCAACCGUAAAAUUGCAGUUGAAACUGGCAGUCUUGAGUACAGUAGAGGUGGGCGGAAUUCGUGGUGUAGCGGUGAAAUGCUUAGAUAUCACGAAGAACUCCGAUUGCGAAGGCAGCUCACUGGACUGCAACUGACACUGAGGCUCGAAAGUGUGGGUAUCAAACAGGAUUAGAUACCCGAGUAGUC